rnacentral:misc_RNA from 1 species
CAUUUUUUUUUUAAUGAGCUUUUUGUCUCGUCUUGGAUCUUCAUUCAAUAGUCACUCUACAUGGAAUGAGGGUCUCAGAGAAUAUAACCUUUGGAGGCCAUAUGGCAAAACUAGAUGCAAUGGACCCCCAGGACACAACCGCAUGUAGCUAGGUAGCACCUGUUUCAUUUACAUGCAUGAAUCAGCGUCGAUUGUGGUACCAGUAAAAUGCCAGGCCCUAGAAAUACAACUUGCGGAGGUUGUAUCUAGUGGCAUAAAGCUAAAUGAUUGAUGGUCUUUUUUGGGGUCAGCUAGUGCAACUUGAAACUAAAACUGCCCCAUUAAUGAGAAUGGAUAAGACCAUCGAAAACCAUGGUUAAAACCGUGUGAAUUGAUGGAUACCAACUGGCUUGAUCGGAAAUUGGACACUAUACGCUCCAAUUUGAUAUUUAACUUUUGCAUCAGCUUGUUUCAGAAGUCCACUUCCUUAUUUAGUUCUUUCUCGCUUCCACUUCCGCAAUUCAUAUUUUGGCUCAUUUCUUGGAGUUCAAUGGCAACCCCAACUGCUACUCCAGAGGAAUCCUCAGCUCUAGAGCUUAUUAGACAGCAUCUUUUUGGAGACUUCGCUUCCACUGACGUCUUUUUCAAUAAUCUUGAUUUCCAUAUCUCCACUCCCUCCCACUUUCUACAACCCAUCAAACUCGAGAACCACGAUUCUCUAUCCGCCUCAGAAUCCAACUCCCCUGUAUCUGUCCCCAUUCAAUCUACCCAUGAAACCUGCAAUUUCCAACCAAAAACUGAGCUCGUCGACUUAAAAUCUCCGGAGCCUCCUGGUUUGGUUAACCAUUCUCCACCACCAGAACCCAUGUCGGACCUCAAGCCCAUUGAUGAAGAAGAGAAGAGGCAGUACAGAGGUGUACGAAGAAGGCCUUGGGGCAAGUUUGCAGCGGAGAUCCGUGACCCGAACCGGAAGGGUACUCGGGUUUGGUUAGGGACCUUUGAUAGUGAUGUUGAUGCUGCAAAAGCUUAUGACUCUGCUGCAUUCAGAUUGAGGGGAAGAAAAGCCAUCCUGAAUUUUCCUUUGGAGGCUGGACUGGCUGAUCCGCCAGAGCAAACCGGCCGGAAGAGAAGGAAACUGAAGAGAGCGGAAGUGGCGACGGAUUCUGGUGAAUUGUCAUCGGCGAAUUGGAAUUUGGAUUGCGUUGAAGGGGAGGGAAUAUCUUAUGAGGAGCAACUGUCACCGUUAUCAGGAAAACCGGUUUUGCUAACGUGUUAAUACAUGAUUGGCUAAAGUUCAGCACUCGCCCCACGGUGAAGUACCUUGAGUUCCCUGGCUUGUGCACUGAUGCACACCAGUGCAAAAUGUACGAAGGAAUAUGUGAAUUAUUAGUUUCGAUGUUUGGGUGUUUACUCGAUAACGUAGAAGUUUGUGAAAUAUGAAUAACUCAUUUUAGUGUCAAUAUCUCCACUUUUAAGAAUUGGAUUAAUUUCUAUUUUGUUAACAGGAAAUUGGAGAAUG